ACUGAAUAUAAGAGCAAUGUGUGGGGCAAGCACCAGAACUCUGGCCGGACAUGGGCACUCUCUCCCACUCCCCUCUUCACCUACACCCACAGCCCCGCAAAUGGUAGCAAGACGAUGGUGUAACUAUCGAUGCAAGACAGAACCAGCUAAAGAAAAUCCUCCACACACAGAGACCUACAUCAAAACUCCAAAUUUCCCAAGACCGUCUAUCUCCACAUAGUGCCUGCUGCCACUGAUCCACUUAAAACAGCGCUGUCUUCUGAGCCUACAGACAACAAAGCUGCCUUCCUCCAAAAACCUCAUCUGACUGAAGACUCCUGAGACACAUGAAGAACCCCACAGAAGACAGACUUGGGACCUUCCAGCUACAGAUGAACUCUCUCGCCAAAGCCAAUGGCUGCUGAACUUAGGGAAAGUUACAUGAUAGCAAAGAAAACAUAAUGUCUAUCUAGAUAAAUUAAUUGCUGUUCAAAAUUGGUGUUAUUACCCUCAAAUUGUACUACCCAUGGAACAAGUAAUUGAUUGUACAAUCUCUUGCCUUCCCAACCCUUACCCUUAACCCUCUUUACUACUCUGGCUUUGUUGUGCUACUUCUCUAGGCUGUAUGUUUUCUUCUGAUACUUCCACCCCACCCUAAAUUUUCAUCACAAAUGACACAGGCACACCAGUGAGCCCCCCCUCCCUUUUUUAUAAAAACAAAAGGGGGAUUUAUGGGGCAGGUGUUUAAUGAUUGCACAUAUAUACAUUCAUAGAAACCCUAUAAAGAAAAGAUGUUCACAUUUGUUUAAACCUGGAUAUUAUUUUGAAAAACACUGACACAUAGCAGGGUGGUUAUAACUGAAUGAAUGAAUGGAUGAAUGAAUGAAUGAAUGAAUGAAUGAGCUCUGUAUAUAUUCUAUCCAUUCUACCAUCAAAGAAAACUUUCUGUCAUUUGGUCACAAAGUAGGUAACUGUUCAUGUUCCUCUUUCUGUGUUUGUUUACUGAGAGCUCUAAUCCUUAUGCUAUGAAUUUCCCACAGUUUGAACCUAGUUAAUGGGCGCAGGUUGGUUCCGUUCCUUCACUACUGGGUCAUAUGCCUUGCUGGUACUAUUCUACUAAUUUUGUCCUUCAGGUUCACAUUCAAGCUGAUGUCUGUAGGAAAAUAAUUACAAUGAGAGUAGACAAAUUUUCUAGUCUCUUGAUUUGAGAUAGUAGUGCUGAGGAAAUCACAUUAUCUUUCUCAACCUGCACUUUCUUACUUCCAUUUCAACAAGCCCCUCCCCUACUUUUGCUAAGCAGGAACACAGCAGAAGGAAACAUGCUUCUUUCUAUCAUGUUGGCUCACUGGGAACAUCCUAGCACUGAAAAAGCCUCCACUUACUCUUGACCCUGACAUGAAGAUGAAGCUGAUAUAAUGAUUCUAAGAUGCUUUCCUGAUUUUACCUCUUAUGAUGGUUCCUAACCAAAAUCUUUAAUAUUGAUAAUCACAUAGUUUUCACAAUACAGGAAUGAUGUCAAAU
rnacentral:lncRNA from 1 species